GACGAAUCAUCUGGAAAGAUGAAUCAAAGAAGGUAAUAAUCCUGUAGUCGAAAAUGUUGUCUCUCUUGAGUGGAUCCUGAGUACGACGGAGCACGUGAAAUUCCGUCGGAAUCUGGGAGGACCAUCUCCUAAGGCUAAAUACUCUCUAGUGACCGAUAGUGAACCAGUACCGUGAGGGAAAGGUGAAAAGCACCCCGGAAGGGGAGUGAAAUAGAACCUGAAACCGUGUGCUUACAAGUAGUCAGAGCCCGUUAAUGGGUGAUGGCGUGCCUUUUGUAGAAUGAACCGGCGAGUUACGAUUUGAUGCAAGGUUAA
rnacentral:rRNA from 1 species